UGACAAAAGAAGUGUUCUUUUUGCUAGCAAGUGUUUAACUCUACAGGACGUGUGAAGAAUCAGCAUAGGUGGACUUUAACCAGUAUCUAGAGGGUGUUUCAUCAUGCCAUCAACUUCAGCACGCAAAAUCAAACAACAAAAACGCAGUCAUCUAAGCUAAACAAACUCAUUGAGGAGUAUCACAAUUGAGGGAAAAGUGGUACCUUUUUCGGUGUCAAGCAAGAGGAUAUAAUCAGACAUCACACAUUCACCAGACAGGUUUCUCCUUCCUCUCAUAAAUAGUUCAUCAUUUAUUUAACUAUCCAUUACUCAGUGAACAGAGGUGGUUUCCCCGCCCUCUGUGCCUAGACCAUACAACACACCAGCAUAUUUCUCAGUUAAUCCGCCGAAGUACGACUCCUUGAGCUUGUUGAAGGAGAGCGCGGUGAGCAGAGAAUCGGAGCCUGCCUGAUGGCAGAUCCCGACCCGCUCGACGUCGAGCAGCUCAGCGAGCUUGUUCAGCCCGCCGUGGAGGCUAUUGCAGAAUCUCAUCAAGUGUUUGAUGUCGUAGAUCACGGGG
rnacentral:lncRNA from 1 species